GCAGAUGGCCAGAGACACUGGAGG
rnacentral:piRNA from 1 species